CCCGGCCGGUGUGGCUCCGGGGCUGACCAUCGACCUCGGAACCAGGAGGCCACCUUUUGAUUCCCGGUCAGGGCCCAGGCCCAGGCCGCGGGCUCCAUCUCCAGCGUGGGGCGUGCGGGAGGCAGCCGGUCCAUGAUUCUCUCUCAUCAUGGAUGUUUUUCCCUCUCCCUUCCGCUCUGAAAUCAAUAAAAGUAUUAAAAAACAAAACAAAAUACCUGUGGAUCAAUUCCGGAAGGAGGAAGACCCCUGUGGUCCCCCACAAUCUGGGGGACGGAACGGGCUGGGACUGCCCUUAGGGUGAGGGUGUGGCUGCCAGGAGGCAGCUGGGCAGCGGGUCUGAGCUCUCAGCCUGUGUCUAGAAGAAGCCACCACCCAUGGGUGAGCUUUAUUUCCCCAGGAGGGCCUUUCCCUGGGUCCCCUCCGGGCUGGGCCCCUGCCGGGCGCAGGGAGGCCCUGGCCUGGCCCGGAGCCUGCGGACCAGGCCGCUCCCCGCCCCGCCCGCCCGGCCGCCGGGGGAUCCCCAGUCCCUGCCGGCGCCCGGGCCCUCGGUCCACCGGGUCUGGUGACUUUGCUCCCGCCCCGUUGACUUUGGAGGGAAAACUUUCCACGAGUUAACGCGGCCGGUUUUCUAUUCUCGGCACUUUUUUUUUUUUUGUCCCGUGAGGGGCACGGCGAGGAGGGUGGGAGUCCUAACUUCAGGAAAGAACUUCCGCGGGGCCCCGGCCCGGACAGGAGCUGUCACCCUCCCCGGCCCGGGGCCGCCGCCCGGGGAGGGGCCUCCAGGGCCCGCGUGAGGCCGCGCCGGCCCCGGGGCCGUGACACCGCACCGUCUGGGGCGGGGGCGGCCGGGGGGCGGCGGGGCGAGCCCAGCACCGCGCCCGCCGGGCGCCCCGCAGC